rnacentral:rRNA from 1 species
GACGAACGCUGGCGGCGUGCUUAACACAUGCAAGUCGAACGGAAAGGCCCUGCUUGCAGGGUACUCGAGUGGCGAACGGGUGAGUAACACGUGGGUGAUCUGCCCUGCACUUCGGGAUAAGCCUGGGAAACUGGGUCUAAUACCGGAUAGGAGCCAUUUUUAGUGUGAUGGUUGGAAAGUUUUUUCGGUGUAGGAUGAGCUCGCGGCCUAUCAGCUUGUUGGUGGGGUAAUGGCCUACCAAGGCGGCGACGGGUAGCCGGCCUGAGAGGGUGGACGGCCACAUUGGGACUGAGAUACGGCCCAGACUCCUACGGGGGGCAGCAGGGGGGAAUAUUGCACAAUGGGCGCAAGCCUGAUGCAGCGACGCCGCGUGGGGGAUGACGGCCUUCGGGUUGUAAACUCCUUUCGCUAGGGACGAAGCUUUUUGUGACGGUACCUAGAUAAGAAGCACCGGCUAACUACGUG